rfam:Negishi virus strain Negishi polyprotein precursor, gene, complete cds
AUGGAAUGGUGCGGCAGCGCGCAGCAGCGACGGGGAAAUGGUCGCACCCGACGCACCAUCCAUGAGGCAGCAAUUCGUGAGACC